rnacentral:siRNA from 1 species
AGAAUUUAAGAGAGAAUUGCUGCC